UCCAUUCUUCUGUUCCCGGCUUUUUGACUUAGUUCUCAGUUGUCUGGUUGCUAUCAGUUCUCUCACUUAUUUGCCAAGAAUCAAAGAAUAUCUGGAUCAAUUACCUGAUUUUCCCUACAAAGAUGACCUCCUGGCAUUGGACUCCAGCUGCCUGCUAUUCAUUGCUCUUGUGUUCUUUGUGGUAUUUAUCAUUUUUAAAGCUUAUCUAAUUAACUGUGUUUGGAACUGCUACAAAUAUAUCAACAACAGAAACGUGCCAGAGAUUGCCGCAUACCCUGCCUUUGAAGCACUUCCA
rnacentral:lncRNA from 1 species